ACUCAUUGUGACUAUGAGUGACGAGUCUACAAGUUUAACAAUCCACAAUGAUGACCAUGGGCUAUAAAGAUCUGUGGCCAGAGACCACGGCCUGUGGGUUUGUGCACGAUUAUUACUUGGUUUCAUUUAUUUGUUUCAUUUUAUCUGUAAUUUCGUAAGUUUAAUUUGAUUUUCUAUUGGAUUUAUGAUAUUUUUAUAGAUUUGUAAGUUAGUUACUUUUGAUCCGUAAGUUUGUUGGUUUUUGUUUGGAUUUUUAUUUGAUUUUCUUUUGUAAAGAAUGUGGUGUUGAACGGGGUGGUCUAACAAUGGUGGCAACAAUCUGCCCCCUGGUAUGACAAGGGUACACACCCAAGGAGUUAACACCCCCCCCCCUUCUCGUCCAUGCGAGGUCAGGUGCAUGUAACACCUUUAGUGAAGAGUGGAUGCUUUGCAAAAUGAUAGUAAAAGCAGUGUGCCUAUUUCUCUCUAAUUAUUUAGCCUAUCUCUCAAAUCACAAAUAAGAGACAACAUAGUUUAUGUAUAUAUGAUGAUGUUUGCAAGGUAAACCACCAAUAAUGGUAGUAAUAGAGAAUGCGAAAAACAAUACAAAUAUUUUUACAACACUUAUCUUAAUUUUAUAAAAAUAGACAUCUAUUGGAUAAAAGCAAUAAAUGGUAUAU